rfam:Flavobacterium sp. CF136 PMI10_contig170.170, whole genome shotgun sequence.
UCCUAGCCCUGAUAGAAGUGGAAAUCCUUUUGUGCCGGGGUUCGGAACAAAAGAUUGCAACGGAUAGCAGGAAUUAGC